ACUUAAGUAGUUUAAUAGUAAGAUAUUGGUUUGUGGUGCCGAUGAUGUAGUUUUACCUUGGGUU
rnacentral:tRNA from 1 species